GUCGCAGAGGCGGCCGCGGUCAAUCUCAGACUCUCGCUCCAGUCUCAGCAUCGCCGCCGAUCGCCGGACCGAACGGGGACGGACGAACGCCGUCGGAUGCGAGUUCGACUCUCGCCUGCGCCU
rnacentral:tRNA from 8 species